rnacentral:ncRNA from 1 species
UUGAGCCGUAUGCUAUGAAAGUAGCACGUACGGUUCUUAGAGGGGGAACACUUAGUAAUAAGUUUACCUAUCUCAAC